GAUGAACGCUGGCGGCGUGCCUAAUACAUGCAAGUCGAGCGAACAGACGCGGAGCUUGCUCCUCUGACGUUAGCGGCGGACGGGUGAGUAACACGUGGAUACCCUACCUAUCAGACUGGGAUAACUUCGGGAAACCGGCGCUAAUCCCGGAUAAUAUAUUGAACCGCAUGGUUCAAUAGUGAAAGACGGUUUUGCUGUCACUUAUAGAUGGAUCCGCGCCGGAUUAGCUAGUUGGUAAGGUAACGGCUUACCAAGGCGACCAUGCGUAGCCGACCUGAGAGGGUGAUCGGCCACACUGGAACUGAGACACGGUCCAGACUCCUACGGGAGGCAGCAGUAGGGAAUCUUCCGCAAUGGGCGAAAGCCUGACGGAGCAACGCCGCGUGAGUGAUGAAGGUCUUCGGAUCGUAAAACUCUGUUAUUAGGGAAGAACAAAUGUGUAAGUAACUAUGCACGUCUUGACGGUACCUAAUCAGAAAGCCACGGCUAACUACGUG
rnacentral:rRNA from 1 species